rnacentral:rRNA from 1 species
GACGAACGCUGGCGGCGUGCUUAACACAUGCAAGUCGAACGAUGAAGCCCAGCUUGCUGGGUGGAUUAGUGGCGAACGGGUGAGUAACACGGGAGUAACCUGCCCUGGACUCUGUGAUAACCCCGAGAAAUCGGAGCUAAUACCGGAUAGGACCUUUCCCCGCAUUGGGUUUGGGGGAAAGUUUUGCUGUUUGGGAUGGACUCUCGGCCUAUCAGCUUGUUGGGGAGGUGAUGGCUCACCAAGGCGUCGACGGGUAGCCGGCUUGAGAGGGUGACCGGCCACACUGGGACUGAGACACGGCCCAGACUCCUACGGGAGGCAGCAGUGGGGAAUAUUGCACAAUGGGCGCAAGCCUGAUGCAGCAACGCCGCGUGCGGGAUGACGGCCUUCGGGUUGUAAACCGCUUUUAGUAAGGAAGAAGGGGCUUCGGCCUUGACGGUACUUGCAGAAAAAGGACCGGCUAACUACGUGCCAGCCGCCGCAGUAAGAC